rnacentral:rRNA from 1 species
GAACGGGUGAGUACACGUGGGUGAUCUGCCCUGCACUUUGGGAUAAGCCUGGGAAACUGGGUCUAAUACCGAAUAGGACCACGCGCUUCAUGGUGUGUGGUGGAAAGCUUUUGCGGUGUGGGAUGGGNCNNNGGCCUAUCAGCUUGUUGGUGGGGUAAUGGCCUACCAAGGCGACGACGGGUAGCCGGCCUGAGAGGGUGACCGGCCACACUGGGACUGAGAUACGGCCCAGACUCCUACGGGAGGCAGCAGUGGGGAAUAUUGCACAAUGGGCGCAAGCCUGAUGCAGCGACGCCGCGUGAGGGAUGACGGCCUUCGGGUUGUAAACCUCUUUCAAUAGGGACGAAGCGCAAGUGACGGUACCUAUAGAAGAAGCACCGGCCAACUACGUGCCAGCAGCCGCGGUAAUACGUAGGGCGCGAGCGCUGUCCGGAAUUACUGGGCGUAAAGAGCUCGUAGGUGGUUUGUCGCGUUGUUCGUGAAAACUCACAGCUUAACUGUGGGCGUGCGGGCGAUACGGGCAGACUAGAGUACUGCAGGGGAGACUGGAAUUCCUGGUGUAGCGGUGGAAUGCGCAGAUAUCAGGAGGAACACCGGUGGCGAAGGCGGGUCUCUGGGCAGUAACUGACGCUGAGGAGCGAAAGCGUGGGGAGCGAACAGGAUUAGAUACCCUGGUAGUCCACGCCGUANACGGUGGGUACUAGGUGUGGGUUCCUUCCUUGGGAUCCGUGCCGUAGCUAACGCAUUAAGUACCCCGCCUGGGGAGUACGGCCGCAAGGCUAANACUCAAAGGAAUUGACGGGGGCNNNCA